CAUUAUGUGGCACAAUGGUUUGAGUGUUGGACUACAGCUUUGGAGACCAGGGUUCGAUUCUCUGCUUGGCCA